UGAGGAAUAUUGGUCAAUGGACGCAAGUCUGAACCAGCCAUGCCGCGUGGAGGAUGAAGGCCUUCUGGGUUGUAAACUCCUUUUAUCUGGGAAGAAAACUACGGUUUCUACUGUAGCCGACGGUACCAGAGGAAUAAGCACCGGCUAACUCCGUGCCAGCAGCCGCGGUAAUACGGAGGGUGCAAGCGUUAUCCGGAUUUACUGGGUUUAAAGGGUGUGUAGGCGGGUCAUUAAGUCAGUGGUGAAAUCUCCGAGCUCAACUUGGAAACUGCCAUUGAUACUAUUGAUCUUGAAUUCUGUUGAGGUGGGCGGAAUAUGUCAUGUAGCGGUGAAAUGCAUAGAUAUGACAUAGAACCCCAAUUGCGAAGGCAGCUCACUAACCAGAUAUUGACGCUGAGGCACGAAAGCGUGGGGAUCAAACAGG
rnacentral:rRNA from 1 species